UUUGGAAUAAACAGAACAAAAGAUAUCAAAAUCCGUUAAACUCUUCACCACCAUUGUUUGCAAUUUGGAACAUGAUGGAAAAAAAAGGCAUCAAUUCUAUUUCUUCACCACCUAAUCCAACUUCCCUAUCUAACUUAAUGUAUUUUUUUACAGGCUGUUUGGACCAUCGCUUCAUAACAUAAAUUCGUUUAUUUUAGGUAAUCUUGUAAUGGCAAUUGAAAAGGAGUUGGUGAACAACUGUGUAACCGAAACUGAAAAGGACUUAGCGAAUGAAUGUGUGCCAAUUAACACCUUAAGGAGAUGUGAUUCCUGUUGGGUAAUAAGAGUCUUAGUAAUUGGAAGCGGACCAGUAAAAGCGUAUAAAAGGGGAACGAACGAAGGUCUCCGAAAGACUGUGACAUUAGUUGACGGAGAGAUAUACUUGGCAUCUUUGUGGAUUCUAAGGCCUUCCUGGGAGGAAACACAAAACGAAGAGAAAUUGUACUUAUGAACGAGAUGUAAGUUGAAUUUAGUUUACCUACUCAUCAUUGAAGCUUUUACUUUUUUUUCUUUUGAAUGAAUGUUGGAAGGGAUCUUCAC